rnacentral:rRNA from 1 species
AGAGUUUGAUCAUGGCUCAGAGCGAACGCUGGCGGCAGGCUUAACACAUGCAAGUCGAGCGGGCGUAGCAAUACGUCAGCGGCAGACAGGUGAGUAACGCGUGGGAACGUACCUUUUGGUUCGGAACAACACAGGGAAACUUGUGCUAAUACCGGAUAAGCCCUUACGGGGAAAGAUUUAUCGCCGAAAGAUCGGCCCGCGUCUGAUUAGCUAGUUGGUGAGGUAACGGCUCACCAAGGCGACGAUCAGUAGCUGGUCUGAGAGGAUGAUCAGCCACAUUGGGACUGAGACACGGCCCAAACUCCUACGGGAGGCAGCAGUGGGGAAUAUUGGACAGUGGGCGCAAGCCUGAUCCAGCCAUGCCGCGUGAGUGAUGAAGGCCCUAGGGUUGUAAAGCUCUUUUGUGCGGGAAGAUAAUGACGGUACCGCAAGAAUAAGCCCCGGCUAACUUCGUGCCAGCAGCCGCGGUA